UGUGAACUCGAAGAGUAGGGCGGGACACGUGGUAUCCUGUCUGAAUAUGGGGGGACCAUCCUCCAAGGCUAAAUACUCCUGACUGACCGAUAGUGAACCAGUACCGUGAGGGAAAGGCGAAAAGAACCCCGGCGAGGGGAGUGAAAAAGAACCUGAAACCGUGUACGUACAAGCAGUGGGAGCACCUUUAUGGUGUGACUGCGUACCUUUUGUAUAAUGGGUCAGCGACUUAUAUUCUGUAGCAAGGUUAACCGUAUAGGGGAGCCGCAGGGAAACCGAGUCUUAACUGGGCGUUAAGUUGCAGGGUAUAGACCCGAAACCCGGUGAUCUAGCCAUGGGCAGGUUGAAGGUUGGGUAACACUAACUGGAGGACCGAACCGACUAAUGUUGAAAAAUUAGCGGAUGACUUGUGGCUGGGGGUGAAAGGCCAAUCAAACCGGGAGAUAGCUGGUUCUCCCCGAAAGCUAUUUAGGUAGCGCCUCGUGAAUUCAUCUUCGGGGGUAGAGCACUGUUUCGGCUAGGGGGUCAUCCCGACUUACCAACCCGAUGCAAACUACGAAUACCGAAGAAUGUUAUCACGGGAGACACACGGCGGGUGCUAACGUCCGUCGUGAAGAGGGAAACAACCCAGACCGCCAGCUAAGGUCCCAAAGUCAUGGUUAAGUGGGAAACGAUGUGGGAAGGCACAGACAGCCAGGAUGUUGGCUUAGAAGCAGCCAUCAUUUAAAGAAAGCGUAAUAGCUCACUGGUCGAGUCGGCCUGCGCGGAAGAUGUAACGGGGCUAAACC
rnacentral:rRNA from 1 species